rnacentral:lncRNA from 1 species
AACAGGAUCAUAGUUUGCUUGGGAAAUGGGAUCCUUCUUUGUGUUAACUUGAACUGAUGGGUUUUUUUCCUCUUUAAAGAUAUCUGUCACUGCAAUGGUUAGUAUUCUUCUCCACACAUAGUCAUUUACUGCAUUGUUAUUUCUUUUUGCUCAGUAGACCUCUGAAUCUAGUUUGGUUAUUUUUCUGAAUGUGAUUUAUUAGUUGUUCUUUGGAAUGCAUGUGUUUUUGCUUUGUAAUUAAAUAUAAUAGAGACUUAUUGGUUGCUAUGAUUUUUCAGGUGCUUAUAACUAGUGCACUAAUUGAAGGCAAGCUGCUCCUUGUCAAUUUCUUCAUUGGUGUUUAUAUAGCAUUACUAUGAAGGCAAGUUGUUCCUUAUCAUAUUCCUCUGAUGUUGCCAAAAACCUGUAUGUUGGUUGGUAAAUGGCAGAUCCCAAUGACUUGGAUAUUUCCUUCAAGAAGAUAAUCAAUUACAUGAGCUUCUUCUAUUGUAUCGAGUACCAAAUAGGUUUACUUUGAGUAUGUUAGUGGGACAUGUAAUAUGAAAUUGCUAAUUAGAAAGUGACUACUUAAAUAAUUAGCAAGUGACAUGCAUAUACCCUGGCAGAUCACCUUUGCCUCUUGUUGCUGCAGAUUGAUACUUGUCAUGUUAAGUGCCUAGUUCAAUGUUAAGUGACAUUACAUAUAUAAUGUAAUUGUUGGAUACAUGAAUCAAUGUGUGUAUAAUGUGAUCACUUUUGAAUGUCAUCACUUUUGUGUACA